rnacentral:other from 1 species
UAAUCCCUGUGGUGCAGGUGAUGCUCGCUGUUUCUAAUGAGCCAACACGAUCAUAACGGGGGCCGCUAUCCAGGCGUGGCACUGUACGCCCCUUGGGGCUCUGGGUCACCGGAAGGCUCCCACCUGAGUUCCUCAGGUUCAUAUGAUACUGAGCACACGGCAUUGCGGGGAUUAC